rnacentral:rRNA from 1 species
GACGUAGGGCGCGAGCGUUGUCCGGAUUUAUUGGGCGUAAAGAGCUCGUAGGCGGCUUGUCGCGUCGGGAGUGAAAACGCCGGGCUUAACUCGGUGCUUGCUUUCGAUACGGGCAGACUAGAGGCAUGCAGGGGAGAACGGAAUUCCUGGUGUAGCGGUGAAAUGCGCAGAUAUCAGGAGGAACACCGGUGGCGAAGGCGGUUCUCUGGGCAUGUCCUGACGCUGAGGAGCGAAAGUGUGGGGAGCGAACAGG